AGAGUUUGAUCCUGGCUCAGAUUGAACGCUGGCGGCAUGCCUUACACAUGCAAGUCGAACGGCAGCACGGGAGCAAUCCUGGUGGCGAGUGGCGAACGGGUGAGGAAUACAUCGGAAUCUACCUUGUCGUGGGGGAUAACGUAGGGAAACUUACGCUAAUACCGCAUACGAACCAUGGUUGAAAGCGGCGGACCGCAAGGCGUCGCGCGAUUGGAUGAGCCGAUGUCCGAUUAGCUAGUUGGCGGGGUAAAGGCCCACCAAGGCGACGAUCGGUAGCUGGUCUGAGAGGAUGAUCAGCCACACUGGAACUGAGACACGGUCCAGACUCCUACGGGAGGCAGCAGUGGGGAAUAUUGGACAAUGGGGGCAACCCUGAUCCAGCCAUGCCGCGUGUGUGAAGAAGGCCUUCGGGUUGUAAAGCACUUUUGUUGGGGAAGAAAAGCACUGGGCUAAUACCUUGGUGUCAUGACGGUACCCAAAGAAUAAGCACCGGCUAACUUCGUGCCAGCAGCCGCGGUAAUACGAAGGGUGCAAGCGUUACUCGGAAUUACUGGGCGUAAAGCGUGCGUAGGCGGUUUGUUAAGUCUGUCGUGA
rnacentral:rRNA from 1 species